AACGAACGCUGGCGGCAUGCCUAACACAUGCAAGUCGAACGAAGUCUUCGGACUUAGUGGCGCACGGGUGCGUAACGCGUGGGAAUCUGCCCUUGGGUACGGAAUAACUCAGAGAAAUUUGUGCUAAUACCGUAUAAUGUCUUCGGACCAAAGAUUUAUCGCCCAAGGAUGAGCCCGCGUAAGAUUAGCUAGUUGGUGGGGUAAAAGCCUACCAAGGCGACGAUCUUUAGCUGGUCUGAGAGGAUGAUCAGCCACACUGGGACUGAGACACGGCCCAGACUCCUACGGGAGGCAGAAGUGGGGAAUAUUGGACAAGGGGCGAAAGCCUGAUCCAGCAAUGCCGCGUGAGUGAUGAAGGCCCUAGGGUUGUAAAGCUCUUUUACCAGGGAUGAUAAUGACAGUACCUGGAGAAUAAGCUCCGGCUAACUCCGUG
rnacentral:rRNA from 1 species